rnacentral:rRNA from 1 species
UACAGAGGUGACAAGCGUUGUUCGGAAUUACUGGGCGUAAAGGGCGCGUAGGCGGCCUUCUAAGUCAGACGUGAAAUCCCCCGGCUUAACCUGGGAACUGCGUCUGAUACUGGGAGGCUUGAGUAUGGGAGAGGGAUGUAGAAUUCCAGGUGUAGCGGUGAAAUGCGUAGAUAUCUGGAGGAAUACCGGUGGCGAAGGCGGCAUCCUGGACCAUAACUGACGCUGAGGCGCGAAAGCUAGGGGAGCAAACGGG